rnacentral:lncRNA from 1 species
GAGGGUGUGUCAGGUACGGCCGAGCUGCGCCUGUCCACGCUGCCCCGGCAGCGCGCUCCUCCGGGAGGAGCCCCAAAACUGCCCUCCCGGAGCCUCCGAGGGCUCGGCUGCUGGGCGGGAGCGGAGAGGGGCGCAGGUCGCCAACGGGCCGCCCUGCCUUAGCCGCAGGUUCUCAAGGGCGUUGGUGGCUCCACCAGCUCGCCCGCCCGACCUCUCGCCGCCCCAGACCCGUUGUCGGCAACAGAAUCAGAACACAUGGGUGACAAAUUUCCAAGCGAGACAACAGAGCAGAGUGCUGUUAAACACUUUCUCACCCUUGAAGUGAUCACACAAGUUCCAACAAGCGGCAGCCUUGUGGCUGCCUGCUUGCUGGGCUCCUCCUUGCCUCCCUCCAUCUCCUGUCUUUGGAGCUCGUAAUCCUCUCUCAGCCUCUGAGAGGCCGGAGCAUCUUGGCCUUUACCUCGUCCUCUGGAAAGUCUUAAUAAGCGACUCUAGCGAUGUCUGUCCUGCUUCUGUUUUGCUGUUAGUCUUUACAACCACAAAGCAGACCACUUGGUCGUGCUGCUCCCAAACCCCUGUGCUUUGAAUCUUCCAGAUGGCUGAGUGUCAGGAAGGGAGGGGGUGCUGAGAACCUCUCUUCCUCAGGAGUCAAGCUGUUUCACUCUUUUUCUCCUACAUUGGCUGGAAGUAACCUUGUUGGAAAUCUCAGCGGUAGAAAAUGCUUUCACCAAGGGGUCUUGAGGACUGCAUUGUUCUGAUAAGUUUUGGAACUGUGAAGGAAAUUGAACCCACAUUCAUCUAAACCCAGCAGAAGAGUUUUUCAAGUGAUGUAAUGCAUUUGUUUAGAGUCAAGGCCUUGCACCUGGAACUUGCUUUAUAAAUCAAGCUGAUCUGGAACUCAUCAAUACCCACCUGCCUCUGCCUCUCAUUGCUGGGAUUAAAAGCAUGUGACACCAUG